rnacentral:rRNA from 1 species
UAACGCGUGAGGAACCUGCCUCAAAGAGGGGGACAACAGUUGGAAACGACUGCUAAUACCGCAUAAGCCCACGACCCGGCAUCGGGUUGAGGGAAAAGGAGCAAUCCGCUUUGAGAUGGCCUCGCGUCCGAUUAGCUAGUUGGUGAGGUAAUGGCCCACCAAGGCAACGAUCGGUAGCCGGACUGANAGGUUGAACGGCCACAUUGGGACUGAGACACGGCCCAGACUCCUACGGGAGGCAGCAGUGGGGAAUAUUGCACAAUGGGGGAAACCCUGAUGCAGCGACGCCGCGUGGAGGAAGAAGGUCUUCGGAUUGUAAACUCCUGUUGUUGAGGAAGAUAAUGACGGUACUCAACAAGGAAGUGACGGCCAACUACGUGCCAGCAGCCGCGGUAAAACGUAGGUCACAAGCGUUGUCCGGAAUUACUGGGUGUAAAGGGAGCGCAGGCGGGAAGACAAGUUGGAAGUGAAAUCUAUGGGCUCAACCCAUAAACUGCUUUCAAAACUGUUUUUCUUGAGUAGUGCAGAGGUAGGCGGAAUUCCCGGUGUANCGGUGGAAUGCGUAGAUAUCGGGAGGAACACCAGUGGCGAAGGCGGCCUACUGGGCACCAACUGACGCUGAGGCUCGAAAGUGUGGGUAGCAAACAGGAUUAGAUACCCUGGUAGUCCACACCGUAMACGAUGAUUACUAGGUGU